rnacentral:lncRNA from 1 species
CAUUAUCCAAAUAAUUAUUAUAUAAAACAAAUUAUUAACUUAUUUUGAUACAUCCAAGCAGGAGAGGAUUACACCAACAUUUUCAUUGGUUCUACAUCAUCGUCCUCUAUAGCGUCUUUUGCAAGCUGAAAACAAAAUUAAAAUACAACCAUAUUAAUUGUAAAGUAUACUAGUUAUACGUGUUAUAUUUUUACUAAUUAUACUAGUUAUAUUCGUUGUAGUUGGACCAAUUAUACAUUUUAGUUGUACUAGUUAUACUUGCUUUAUUUAUACUAGUUUACUAGAUUUAAUUUGUCGCAGCUGUACAUUUUAAUAUCUUCUAAUCCUCUUCUACUGCAACAUUUUUUUGGCUUUUCUAUUGUGUUCUUUGGCUUUGAGAAUAAAGAUUAUUUUGUAAAAAAAAAUAAUACAACUAGUAAAACAAAUAAUUAUUUACAUCAAAUACUAUAGGAAAAUUCUAGCAAUUCUGAAAAUUCAACAAGUCUCAAAUAUUAAACACAAUAUUAUGAGUUGAUCCAAGAAGAUAGCAUUCAGAGAUAACAAGACAACUGAUCACAUUACAUAAUCUCAGAUGAUCAUUAAUCAAACAUAGAUUUAGCAGAAAAUAGAUAUGCGUAUAAGUUGUUUGAAUAAAGUUGCAAAGUUGUAUUGGUUAUUCACGUUCUAAUUGUACAUGUUAUACUGAUUGUAUUUGUUAUAGUUGUAUUGGUUAUACUAAUCAUAAGCAUUCGAGUUGUACCAGUUAUACUAGUUAUACGCACUCUAGUUGUACAAGUUAUACUCGUUUGAGUUAUACUAGUUACGCCAGUAAUACUCGGUGUUCUUCAUUGUCGUGAUAUCAUACACUGAUGAUGAGAUUCAGCUUAAAAUGGUAGAAAAUUGAUUGAAGAGGAUGAUGAGUUGAUCGAUUUGACCAAAAAUGAUUAUGGUUGAUAGAUUUGUGAUAAGAAUGAUAAAACUCAAAAUCUGAAUUAUUUUUUUAAUUUUAAUUUAAGAUGAGAGAAACAUCAACAAAGAAGGAAAGAAAAAUAAAAAUAUUGAUUAUGGUGCAGCCAUGAGUAGAGAUAUUGGAGAGCUGAGUGAGUCUGACGAGGGAGAGCCAGACUUGAGCAGAGAAGAGCCGGACUUGAGAAGAGAAGAACCAAAUGAGCUAGCCAGCUUGUGGAGUGGACCAGUAACCAGAUCAAGACUGAGAGCACAAGAGAAGAGCCUCCAACACUUAGCCAAAUCCGUGGGGCUUAAAUCAGAAGAGGAGAACCAAGAUAAACCAGCCUGUUGGUAAUUUUAUUUCAGUGUAAUUUGAUUUCAUUUAAAUUAAACCAAUUUCGGGUAGGAUUAGGAUUUAUUAAAAACCAAUUUCGAUGGGGUUUAGAUUAGGAAUUAGAUUAAACCAUCUUGGUUUAUGAUUAGGGUUGCUGGGGGUUUUCUAUUUAUCUUUCAACGCAGACUUUGUGAAAGUCAUUCAACUUUUCAAUCAAAAACUUACAGCAAAGAGUUGUCUCAUUUCCUGCUUUCUCUGUUCAGCUAAAGGAACAUUGAUCUCACCUUAGGGAAGGAAUUCCUUAGUGAAAACCAUCUUAGACAAUACAGGGUAAUCUUGUGUCUUUGAGUAGCAAACCAUCGCUGUCGCCAUUCCAUAGCUUCAGAGAGACGUUCAUAGUCCUGCAGAGUGCUAGUAGCCUCCAAGGACAACCCUCUUUCAUUCCCCUUCAAGUGAUCCCGGAGCAGAAGCCAUACCCAGGCUGUACCAAGUGGUAUCAGAGCCACUUGAAGGUUUAGGGUUUAAUGAUUUUGACCUAGGAGCACGAAUUAUUCAGCAAUCUUCAAUGUAUUCUCAUAAGAAGCAGGGAGAUCAGGCUAUACAACCAGCAACAAGGAAGAGAGUUGCAGCAAACCAGACCUUGAUCUUUAGUGAACAGCAACUGGAUGACCUAGCAGCCGAAAUCUUCAAUCAGAUCAUGAGAGGACGUGGCAGCAAGCAAAGGUGGGAGAGAUCUGACCUAAAAACGUCCAAGGAGAGAAAUUUACUUGCUUUGGAUCAGUUUGGGCGCUGGUCUAGGGUUCCACCAGAGACAAGAGAGAAUAUCCAGCUAGUUCAUGAGCUAUCAACAAGCAAGGUGUGCAAAACAGGAAAACAAACUUUUAAGCCAUGCUCACAAACGGCGGAGAAGGAACCUGAGAAGGUACCUGAGAUUGAAUCAAUCCUAAACAGUCCUUUUCAAGGAGAACAUUCAGUACUUCCACUGAAGCAAGAGGAGCACGUACCAGUAGCCUUGAGUGGUCAUACCCUUGACCUAACCGAGGAUAAAGAGGAAGAAAAACUUGAUGCGGCGCUUGUAGUUCAUAAGGAGUCAUCUGCGACUUUGAUUGAACAAGGUGGAUUCAUUAGAUAUGCUUCUGACUAUUCACUGAUCAGGCCUCUUGUUUGUGUGAAAUUCAGUCUCAUGGACCACUUAAAACUUGUCAAAGAGCUGCACAACUUCAUCUUUGAACCAGGAGAAAAGCUAUAUGAGUUUAAGAGCAACAACAACAUUCUGGUGCAAAGAGCAACAGCAAAUCUGAGUAUGCACGAAACACUCAUCUUCAAUGAGCAGGAUUUGAGGUCAAAUCCUUUUAAAGGAAGAGGGGGGAGUGUAGCUCAAAUCAGCAGCAAAAACAGGAUAAAAGAAAGCAAGUCCGAAUUGCAUCAACUACAUAAAGACUUGCAGCUUUGGCUUCAUAAUCCUAGACCAAGACAAAACGUUAUUCAUGCUGAUAUGAGCUCUAUAGAGAGCUUGUAUCACACACCAUCAAUGUGUGGAAAGACCAGGGAUGGCCCAGGAGAGGCAAGGCACCGUCCUAGACUCAAGAGUGAGUAUGGGGAUCAUUGUACACGACCUCCUGAUCAGGAGAAUCAUGUCAGGUGAUUCACUUUGAUUUUAGAACAAGUUGUGCUGAGAGAUGACCAGAACUUGCUUAUUCUUGGUCAGAUGGGAUUGGUACGACCACCAGAGUGGGGAAGAAGGUUCUUAGUCAGUCAUGAAGAUCCAGCAUUACUUUCUGAGAUGUCUUGUGUGUUACAAAUCUUUACAUCCAGAACAGUGUAUGAGAAGCAUGAUAUGAAUGCGUUUAUCUUAGAAGGUUCGGAUUUGAGGACAAAUCCUUUUAAAGGAGGAGGGGAUGGUGCAGCCAUGAGUAGAGACAUUGGAGAGCUGAGUGAGUCUGACGAGGAAGAGCCAGACUUGAGCAGAGAAGAGAAGAACCAAAUGAGCUAGCCAGCUUGUGGAGUGGACCAGUAACCAGAUCAAGACUGGGAGCACAAGAGAAGAGCCUCCAACACUUAGCCAAAUCUGUGGGGCUUAAAUCAGAAGAGGAGAAACAAGAUAAACCAGCAUGUUGGUAAUUUUAUUUCAGUGUAAUUUGAUUUCAUUUAAAUUAAACCAAUUUCGGGUAGGAUUAGGAUUUAUUAAAAACCAAUUUCGAUGGGGUUUAGAUUAUGAAUUAGAUUAAACCAUCUUGGUUUAUGAUUAGGGUUGCUGGGGGUUUUCUAUUUAUCUUUCAACGCAGACUUUGUGAAAGUCAUUCAACUUUUCAAUCAAAAACUUACAGCAAAGAAUUGUCUCGUUUUCCGCUUUCUCUGUUCAGCUAAAGGAACAUUGAUCUCACCUUAGGGAAGGAAUUCCUUAGUGAAAACCAUCUUAGACAAUACAGGGUAAUCUUGUGUCUUUGAGUAGCAAACCAUCGCUGUCGCCAUUCCAUAGCUUCAGAGAGACGUCCAUAGUCCAGCAGAGUGCUAGUAGCCUCCAAGGACAACCCUCAGAGUGCUAGUAGCCUCCAAGGACAACCCUCUUUCAUUCCCCUUCAAGUGAUCCCGGAGCAGAAGCCAUACCCAGGCUUCACCAGAUUAAGAAAAUGAUGAUUGUUGAUGAAGAAGAUGCAGAUUGAAGAAGAAAAUCGAGAUAAAAAAAAGUUGAGAUGAAAAAUUUGGAAGAAAUUGAACUAUCGAUAGUUUUGGAAAAGGGGAAGAAUAAAAAAUUAGGGAUUUGAGAAAAGAUCCAACCCGGAUCCAGAUGAUGUUAUCUGGGUCAAACUUUAGAUGGUUGAGUUGGUAAUUUUAUGAACUUUGAUAAGGAUAAUGGUCAUUUCUCUACUUUUCCUAUUUUAAAAGAAAAUGAAAAUUAAUUGGAAAAAGAAGUGGUCUAUUUUAGAAUUUUUUGACUCCAUAUGGUCCAUUAGAGCAUUUGUUCCUGGUUUUGUAGAGAAAGAGAGGGAAGAGAGAGAUAGGAAGAGAAAUAUAGAAAAAAAGUUUUUUGGUUAUUUAGCAAAUAUGUGUUGUUUUGUUGUUAAGAAGCAAAUUUCCCACUAAAAAUAAUAUAAAAAAUUUAAAUUUAAAUUUUUUUGCGAGAAUACUAUUUAAAUAUUCAUGACUCAUACAUGUUAUCUCACUAAAAUCUUACAGUUUUUUUAUCUUCUGAUCUUUUGAUCAAAUAUUUUGUCUCUUUGGAGAUUUUACUUUGCUUUUUCUGGCAAAUUUUGAAGGAAACAAUCUAAAGCUUAUCUUGUAACCAAAUCAUACUUACCUUUAUGGACUUUUUAGAAUGGUCAACAAAAAAAUAUAUUUAAUACCCAUUUUUCUUUGUCAGGAUGUGGAAAACUUAGGAAUCGUAUAAAAUAUGUACUUCAUUAUUUUUUGGAUCGGAAGUUCAAAAUCAUCAUGUUAUAUUGUUAAUAUGAUAUAUUUCUAGAGUUUCAGAGAACUCGGCACAAGAGGCUAGUGUUGAUCGACACCUUCACAUAAUCGAUCGACACCCAUCGAAGCCAGCGACUCAUCUUCAGGUUAUCAUUCUGCAUGCGACUAAGGAUCAUAUACCACUUGGACAUAGGGUGAAAUCCAGGACGCCAUAUAUACCCAGACAUCUCAUAAUGCCUAUCAAGGUUGCAGAGCUUGAUGGCAAGAGAGUGAAAAUGGUUCCUGAAGAUGAAUCUUUUGAAUAUGCCUACUACAAGUACAAAUUUGGUAUGUUUUUCGGGGAAACCAGAGUGGCAUAUGUGGAGAUCAAAUAUUUGUGUGAUACAAUUAGAAGUGAAUCAAAGAAGGUCAAGAAGCUGAGGAAAUAACAAGGCCCUAAGAAGUUUGUGGUUCCCUGCUCUUUCGCAGAAAUUGAAUUUCCUAAUGCUCUGUGUGAUACUGGUUCUUCGUCAAUAUCAUUCAUAAAGACGCUUCUGACAUAUUGGGACUUAAGGUAGAAGCUUCCUCAAUGAGCUUUAAUUUUGUGAAACUUUCCAAGUCAGACUCAGCUGGUAUUGUUAGGAAUGUGGAAGUAAUGAUUGGGAAUAAAAUGCUGUGAAAGUCUUUGUUGGCUGCUUGUUCAAGAUGAAGAAGGAGGACAUUGGGAUUUGUUUUAGAGAAAAGUCCCAUUCUUGCCAAGACUAAAUCUGAGUUCUAAAAGUCAAGCUAAAGACUGAAAACAAGAAGUUGAGUGGGGGCAACUCAUUGGUUUUUUCUUAUUUGCAUAUCAGUCUUUAAAAAACGAGUCGAGUACAAGCAUCGAUUAAUAUCUUCCCGGUGUCGGUCGACACCCCCUUUUAUACGAGUAAAGAUCAAAACUUAACUAGGUCGAUGGACACUCUAUCUGUUCAGGUACAUCUCGUGUUUCCCUUGCUUUUAUUUCGAGAUUUAUAUAUUUAUUUUUCCAAUCUUAAACUGCAUAACACUGAAGAGAAUGUUGUUUAAAUCUGAGGGAUGUAGCUAUUGACAUUAUGUUUUAUUUUAUAGUGUUAUUGAGUCGUUUUAUUGAGUCAAAAAUUGAGUUAGUUGAGGAUGAUGAACGUUUUCUUGUGACAAGCCACCUAACCACUCUCUAGCACCAUUCUUUGAGUUACUGUUUCCAAGUUACAUUACAUGGAAACUCCAAAGGGGAUCUAUCUGCCAGUAACAUCCAUGCUCAUUGAUAGUUUCUGAAGGAAACAAAGCUGACCUCCAACAUAAUCUACUCGAUUUGCUUAUCUUGGGGGUUGGUGUACAUUGGAUCAGAUUCCUCGUUCUUUAAGUCUGAGAAGGCAUGUUUGUGUGGUAUGGUUAUCUUCUCUCUUCACUUCAACAUCAAAAACAAAUGAGAAAAGAAAAGAUUGAGAUGAUUUCCUGAGUUGUAAAGGGAUAGUAAAAAAUUUCCAGGACCCCAUUAUUUUACUAAAUGGAAUGAUCACACGAAGAUGGAAGCGAGGGGUAGAAAAUUUAAUGUGAACUCAUUAUUUGCCUAAAUUUUGCAGAGCAUGGGAAAAAAUGAAAAAGAAGAGGAAAUGAUUCAGAGAAGUGAGAAAAGCGAGAGGAAAGGAACCAAAGUAAGAUAGCAUGUGUAAUCAGAAACCUAAGUGGGUAAGAAUCCAUGUGUCCUUUGAUCAAUAUUCCCAAGAAGAGCAUGCACAUUCAUCUCUUAAACGAGACCAGUUAAGGGGUAUGCCAAAUGGAUGGCGUACAUACUCACCAUAAUAUGGAUGUCGUAGUAUCAUGGCAAAAAAAACCUCUACUCAUAUCAGGUUUACGAAAAACAAUUGGUACGAGUCAAGAUACGAGGGUUUGGAGUGAGUCUUGGAUUCCAGACGCAGUGUCUCGACGACCACUUAGACUUGCUGACCACAUUGUAUACAGACUUCCCCAACUUCUUGUUCAGUCUUCUAUUAGGAAUGAUACCAAUGAGUGGGAUAUACAACUUUUACAGGAUUUCUUUCACCUAGAUGAUAUCCCUUUGAUACUUGGACUAAAAAUUUUUCCCUCUCGUGCUCCGGAUGGAUAUGUUUGGAACCACACAAAAUCAGGAGUGUAUUCAGUUAAAACUGGCUAUGACCUACUCCGAUCGACCAAGUUGAGUCUUGCACAGGAAGGGGUUCUAGAACUGAGAAUCACGAGCCUAUAGAGCCAUGUGUGGAAGAUAAAGGCUCCAAGUAAGAUGAAGCAUUUUUUGUGGCAGGUUAUCUCAGGCUGUGUGGCGACGGCAGAGAGGCUCACGUAUAGACCCAUGAGCACCGAUAUGAUUUGUCCUAGAUGUGCUGGCCCAGUAGAGUCGAUUAAUCAUCUUCUUUUUGAAUGCCCCCAAGCUCUUCAGGUUUGGGCUUUAUCGGACUAUAUGUCCCUUCCGGGUUACUUCCCGAGUACAUCCAUAUACCAAAACAUGAACUUUCUGUUUUGGAAGAGAAAAGAGGUGGCUCCUCUGAGACCACAAUUUGAUACCUUCCCAUGUUGGUACAUUUGGAAGGCGAGGAACGACAAACUCUUUAAUGGGAAAGAUGUAUCCCCGAUUGACACUCUCCAACACGCGUCUCUUGAAGCAGAUUGUUGGAGGAAAGCUAACGAAAAGGAGGAAGCAAACGAGGAUCAUGAUGAUCCCCUACUACAGAGGUUGAGACAGUGCCCCCUGGGAUACCCUGAAUUACCUGUAAAAUUGAUGCAUCAUGGAUCAAUAAUGGCAGCGUCAGUGGCUUAGGGGGGAGUAUUAAGGAUCAAAUGGGUUCGAAAUAUUUUGGAUUACGGGCAUGCAAUAGGAGCCUCUCAGCUUUGCAUUCUAAGAUGGAAGGUAUACUUUGAGCAGCUUCAUGUAUGAAAUACAGAAGGAUAACAUCAAUACGGUUCGAGACAGACUGCUCGAACUUAGUGGAAAUGACUACAAACCCGAUGGAGUGACCAUCAUUCACGACAGAGAUCGAGGUGUUCCAGAGAUUACAUGAAGACUUCAAGGAUGUGAGCCUGUCUCAUAUUCCUCAGACUAGAAACGACCGGACAGACGCGUUAGCAAAAGAAGCAAGAAUCAGAAGCUACACUUUUUCCUAUAUAGAUCAGACCUGGACAGAUGGAGAUGCUCAUCGGAGAAUUGGCUCUUCUGUUCUCCACUUGAUAUAGCCUAGAUGGGUAGCUGACAAAAUAAGAGUAUGUCAAAUGGUAUUUAUAGUGAGUUGUGGGCUGGAUUGUCAGGUUGCUAAGCUGAGGUCGAGUACAUGGAAAUAUCGUAUAAAGUUGGUAUUAUUUGAUAUGGCUUGCAACAUUGUAAGAGGUGAUGGUGGUGCUCUAAAUAAAAGGUGAUUCCUUAGGUUUUCAAACCUCUUCUGUACGUUAAUCUUUUUCUUUGCUUGACGGUAAUUGCUGGCGCAAACAUAUCGGUUUCCUUACUCAAAGCAUUUUUUGUAGUUCAAGUAAAUGAUAAGUCCGAGAGAGUUGAUAUACCUUGGGUUUUGUGGAUUUUAACCAUGGUGUAAGUCCCGUUUUAGAAUCUAUAUUAUGAGUUUUGAGUUUGUUUUAGAGUCUUUGAAAGUUCAUGCACGUUUUAGAGCGUUUUGGAGAUUACAUAGCGUUUUGGAGAUUAUGGAGCCAUUUGGUGUAUUAAAAGAAGUGAAGCUAUAAGUAGAAUUCAGAGUCGAUAUUUGGAGAAGGCGUCGAUCAAUACUUGCUCUUGGUGUCAGUCGACACCCAUGUUGUACGAGCAAACCAACAAAAAUUUCAAUAAUUUCACUUUAGUUUAGAAGUUUCCUUAUUUUCAAAGAGACCCCUAAGUGUAUUUUACAUUAUAUUAGUUAUUUAAGCCAAUGUUUAGGCUACGCUUUACUUGAUGCUUAGAAAUACUUCUAAAAAACUUUGGAGCAAAGAUUCAGAAUUCCUUCAGGGAUUGAGCUGGAACUCCAGUACGUCUAUAUUUUAUCUAACUUUGCACUUUAUUAUGUAUUUGAUUAUAUUUUCAUUGAUCAUGUUUGAGUAAAAACGUGUUAGAUUUAGAGUUUUUCUAUGGUUUAUGAAGAACUGUUAAUUGAUAGAAUCUCUAAGGUGGUCUAAGUGAAUUCUUCAUCAGGAUUUCUAUUUAUGCAUGUUUCUAUUAGCUAGAAACAUGAUCUUAGAAUAAUUGGUAGAAACGACAGUGUAAAUAAUUACCUCAAUUGAAUCUUGCUGAUUGAAUUGAAUCUUGCUGAGCUAAAUAUUUAUUUGCAAUGAGAGUUGGUUUAGAAAUUUAGUGAACAUAUAGAAUUCAGAAUUAAUGCUUGUUUGAAUCAUUAAAAUCAAGAAAAGACACAAUAAAACAUAAAACAAGUCACAACCAAAAUGAACCAAUCAACGAAAUCAAUUGACAAACCCGUUUGGUAUCAACGAAAUAUGAACACAAAAUGCAUAUAACAAACCCCAAUCUUUGCUUUUCAGGGAGAUUAAACGCGAGUUAAGAACAUGCAAAUAAGUUUACCUAAUCUAUUUUUCAUAUAGAUUAACUGCGAUUUAAGCACAUGCAAAGAAGACUGCAAAGAAUGAAAACGAAAUUGCAAAGAACAACUAUUCGGUGCAUUUCUAAACUUCUAAUUAGUAGAGAGAACAAGGAUAUUUUCAAGCACGAGAUUGCAAAGAAUGAAACGAAAUAUGAAAGAGAAGUGUCGACUUCACCUUCGAUUUAGAUGGGAGAAGAAGAUAUUUAGGCUGUAGAUGAUUUGUCGGAAUAAAGGUGAUUUAUGCCAGAGAAUAAGAGAUUUCAGUCGGUGUCAAAGUUUUUUUUUAUCACCA